rnacentral:tRNA from 1 species
GACAUGCAGUGAUAGAGCAUCUGCCUGGUAUGCGGGAGAUCCCAGGUUCAAUCCCUGGCAUCUCCA